AGUUUCUAGUAUGCGAGGAGGGAGAAGUCGUAACAAGGUAGCCGUAGGGGAACCUGCGGCUGGAUCACCUCCU
rnacentral:rRNA from 1 species